rnacentral:rRNA from 1 species
CCUACGGGUGGCAGCAGUGAGGAAUAUUGGUCAAUGGGCGAGAGCCUGAACCAGCCAAGUAGCGUGAAGGAUGACUGCCCUACGGGUUGUAAACUUCUUUUAUAAAGGAAUAAACCGCGUCACGUGUGCCUUUUUGCAUGUACUUUAUGAAUAAGGAUCGGCUAACUCCGUGCCAGCAGCCGCGUUAAUACGGAGGGUCCGAGCGUUAUCCGGAUUUAUUGGGUUUAAAGGGAGCGUAGAUGGGUUGUUAAGUCAGUUGUGAAAGUUUGCGGCUCAACCGUAAAAUUGCAAUGGAUACUGGAAGGCUUGAGUACAGUUGAGGUAGGCGGAAUUCGUGGUGUAGCGGUGAAAUGCUUAGAUAUCACGAAGAACACCGAUUGCGAAGGCAGCUUACUAAAGUGGAACUGACAUUGAUGCUCGAAAGUGUGGGUAUCAAACAGGAUUAGAUACCCUUGUAGUC